UUUAAGCCGAGAAUCCGCAAUAGCGAUGGUAACGAAAAUCCUUUUUUUUGCGCGGCGGCGAAGCCGCCGCGCAAAAAAAAGAUUGUAGUGGACGUAGCGACCCGAG
rnacentral:sRNA from 1 species